AUUGAACGCUGGCGGCAUGCCUUACACAUGCAAGUCGAACGGUAACAGGUCUUCGGAUGCUGACGAGUGGCGAACGGGUGAGUAAUACAUCUGAACGUGCCCGAUCGUGGGGGAUAACGAAGCGAAAGCUUUGCUAUUACCGCAUACGAUCUACGGAUGAAAGCAGGGGACCGCAAGGCCUUGCGCGAACGGAGCGGCCGAUGGCAGAUUAGGUAGUUGGUGGGAUAAAAGCUUACCAAGGCGACGAUCUGUAGCUGGUCUGAGAGGACGACCAGCCACACUGGGACUGAGACACGGCCCAGACUCCUACGGGAGGCAGCAGUGGGGAAUUUUGGACAAUGGGCGAAAGCCUGAUCCAGCCAUGCCGCGUGCAGGAUGAAGGCCUUCGGGUUGUAAACUGCUUUUGUACGGAACGAAAAGACUCUGGUUAAUACCUGGGGUCCAUGACGGUACCGUAAGAAUAAGCACCGGCUAACUACGUG
rnacentral:rRNA from 1 species